rnacentral:rRNA from 1 species
GUCUCCUGAAGGAACGUUGAAGACGACGACGUUGAUAGGCCGGGUGUGUAAGCGCAGCGAUGCGUUGAGCUAACCGGUACUAAUGAACCGUGAGGCUUAACCUUACACCGCCGAA